AUACGGAGGAUGCGAGCGUUAUCCGGAUUUAUUGGGUUUAAAGGGUGCGUAGGCUGUGCGUUAAGUCAGGGGUGAAAUGCCGUCGCUCAACGACGGAGCUGCCCUUGAUACUGGCGUGCUGGAGUACGGAUGCCGUUGGAGGAAUGAGUGGUGUAGCGGUGAAAUGCUUAGAUAUCACUCAGAACACCGAUUGCGAAGGCAUCUGACGAAUCCGUCACGUCCGCUGAGGCACGAAAGCGUGGGGAUAGAACAGGAUUAGAUACCCGGGUAUUCCACGCCGUAAACGAUGAUGACUAACCGUCGGCGAUAGACAGCCGGUGGCCAAGCGAAAGCGAUAAGUCAUCCACCUGGGGAGUACGUCUGCAACGAUGAAACUCAAAGGAAUUGACGGGG
rnacentral:rRNA from 1 species